UCCCUGAUAGCUCAGUAGGUAAAGAAUCUGCCUGCAAUGCAGGAGACCCUGGUUCAAUUCCUGGAUUGGGAA
rnacentral:tRNA from 1 species